rnacentral:lncRNA from 1 species
UUUUUUUUUUUUUGAGUCUGGGUGAAACCAGUACGUAGAACAAGUGACUCAGCAGUCGCGCUAACGGGCCGGCCCUUAUGCGCGGACCAUUCAGGCGAGACGAAUGAUAUCCUCGCUGAAAGCGAGAUAUAGUACUCGCGUCGCCGCAUGCCCGCAUCGCCAUCGGAAGCAACCACCGCAUGAUCCGGCGUGGUUGCCGUUCUCUGCAGUAAGCCAACUGUUGCAUGCACAGUUCCGCCCAUCGUCUCUUUGUGAUCAGUGAUAACAGAUUAUUAUUUUCAUUUCUUAAUUUGUACUCCCUCUAAACAAAUGUAAGAGUGUUUAGAUAACUAAAGUAAUGAUCUAAACGCUCUUAUAUUUCUUUACAGAGGGAGUAUCUGAUUUGGAGAACAAUAGGUAAAUAAUUGCUUGGUUAAUUUUUUUUAGCUAGGCUAAUUUAUUCGUGCAAGUAACCCCGCAAAAAAUAUAUAUUCGUGCAAGUAAAGGAAGACGUCAUCAUUUCUCUUUCAAAAUGGGGUGAUCAUAGGGUUAUAUUAUAAUUCUCCCUGUUCUUUCCAUGUAGCUAAAUUAUUGGAGAUAUUGCUGCUACAAAGAAGAAUAAUUUCAUAGUUUUGCUAUCAAAUUUUUAUGUCUUACAUCUUUGUGCAAAAAUAAAAAUAAAAAUACUCCACAUACCCAUAUCGAAAAUCCUGACCCCUCCCCCUCCACCCAAUUAUAUGCAUGCGGCUGACCAAUUUGGAAUGUUGCACAAAUCUUUGCUAUCCGCAUACAACUCCGCAAACAUAUGAGAGAUACAAUUUGUCACUUGCCCUCUUUAAGGCUCAACGCAUCGUCAUCCAGACAUAUGUCCGCGGACCUAUGGGAGCUGAAAUUUGACAUUUGCGCUUGAAGAUUACUAAUGACACCCAUUUUACCGUCAAUGUCCAUUGAUGCCAUAGCACAAAAACGGUUGUUCCUAUCGGCUCCGGCGUCGCUCAUGAUUGGGAGGCUUGAGAGGCGACCAUGUAAGUCUGUUUAGUGCUCGAUUUCAGGAGCGAAACUUCAAAACAACAAAAUAAGGCCACAAAGCACGGGUGUAUAAAAUACAAGUCCUCCUAAAAUAGAAAACUAGGAAUUCUAGAUACCCUUGAGGCAAAGCGAAACCAAUGGCAAUCACAAAGUUUAAUGUCUUCGUGCAGGUUUAACCUUGUCGAUAACAACCGGAAAGUCUUCGGGCAGGCGGCCCUAAGGAGCAGCGCCCUGGAGCCGUAGUUGUUGCCAUUGAACCCUCGAAUAGGAAUUACAAUUGGAUUAUUUGGUCUAAUGGUUAUAGUCAUGAUCAUUCUAAUAUGGGGACAAACGAUAGUCCAAAAGGCAAGAUUGAACAAAGUUAAGGAGUACUAUUUUCCUCAGCACUGAGGUGCUUUUGUUUUAUAGGAUGAAACUAGAGAAAGGUCUUUCUUUCAGUGUAUUUUCAGAAGUUGAACUCAUACAUGCAACCGACAACUUUGACAAUAGCAGAAUACUUGGAAAAGGGGGGCAUGGGACGGUCUAUAAAGGGAUAACAAAUAGUAACAUGCAUGUUGCAAUUAAAAGAUGUGGAUUAGUUGACGAGAGGCAAAAGGAAUUUGGGCAAGAGAUGCUCAUUUUGUCCCAAUUCAAUCACAAGAAUAUCGUUAAGCUUUUGGGUUGCUGCCUUGAGGUGGAAGUUCCAAGUCUAGUAUAUGAUAUGAGUUUGUUCAAAGUGGUAUCCUAUUUGAGCUUAUUCAUGUCAAGAACCAAGCGCUGCAAAUCUCCUUCAGGACCCUCUUAAGAAUUGCUCAUGAAGCAAACGAAAAGACUCAGCUUCCUGCAUUCCUAUGCAUCUCCCCCAAUAAUUCAUGGCGAUGUGAUCUCCCCCAAUAAUUCAUGGCGAUGUGAACACUUCCAACAUCUUUCUUGAUGAUAACUACAUGGCCAAAGUGUCGGACUUUGGAGCCUCCAUACUAGCCCCAUCUGACAAAGAGCAGUUUGUCACUAUGGUUCAGGGUAAUUGUGGAUAUCUUGAUCCUGAAUACAUGCAAGUUAAUCGACAAAAGGAUUAUUGUCGGUGACUUUCCUAUCCGCUACAAAAGAGAACAAUCUAUAUGCAAUGCUGGCGAGCCACGUGAAAGGCCAAGAAAGAAAGCAUGGCAUUGUUGAGAGGAAUUGCGGACCUAGCUAAGAAAUGCCUAGAUAUGUGUGAUGGCCUUCCAUGAAAGAGGACGCCAAUGAGCUCAAUAGAUUGAGGAAGCUUUCAAUACAUCCUUGAGCUCAGUUGGACGUGGAGACGGAUGCAGAGAGCCAGUGGUCAUGAAAUAGAGUCCAGCGGGUAUGCUAUUGGUGAAAGUGACAACCAACAUAUAAGCCCAAGAGGUAACAUAUACAGAGAGGUUAUUUCAUCAGCACAUGCAUGUUGGCAAGAUGAAAACAGCGUGUGCCGUCAGCUGUAAUGGCAAGAUGAAAACAGAUCCUGAAGCUCAGUGUUAACAGUAGUGACAGAACUACAAUCAAUCCGAGGGAUGAGGUCCUAAGUUGUACAGUACAAUCCCCAGGGUAGGGCAUACGGUAGACAUUACCAGAAUGAGCAACGACCUAGAUUUUCAGACUAGAUUUCGAGAAGAAUUCGAGAUCAUGCUCACUUGCUCGCUUGGUAACUAAGGGAUUGAGGGGCCAGGAAGAAAUAUAUAGGGACCGUGGCCAAGAGAGCGCAAGAUAGAAUGAUCAGUCAAAAUCUGACUCUCCCCUAUUCGAGGCAAACUUCUAUGUGCAACAAGCAACCAGAAUGCGCCUACAUUGAUCAGAUCAGAAUGUAGGUUUCAGUAGAACAAAUACAGACAUGGUAAUGCAACUUUUCAUCAAUAACAAAAGACUUCAAAAUGCUGCUACAUGCAUCCGAAUUUCAGGCUUUGUUGAGCUAGGCCAAGUUUCAGUAUUGUUAGAUUGCGAGUGAACCAACCAGCAGGGUGUCAUCAUCAAAAGCAGAUAAGAGGAAUCCAUUGGCAUCAUGACAAUCAGAUCUUAUACAGUAGGAACAUCUUUGAUAUCAAGCUAAGGAGAAUCUGAAAGCAAUCUGAGCACGCCUAAUGUCAAGGAGACCACACACUAGAGCAAAACUCACCAAAGGCUGGAGCUCAGGUAUAUUGUGAACCAAUCAACUAAAAAGCGGUAUGCAAUCAUCAUCAAAAAGCAGCUAAAAAGGAAUCCACUGGCAACUCAGCAUUCAUAACUCGGAUAAAAACUCGGGAGAAACUAAAAGUUUCCAACUGCAGCAAAUACAGAAGGCCUAGGAGAGGGAGCAAAACAGGGCCGUCAUAGAAAACCAUGACCACAUAGCAAUUCAGGUCAAGUAACGCUUCGCUAUUGGUGGGGCGGAGUCUAUGAGAUCAG